AGUUUGAUCAUGGCUCAGAUUGAACGCUGGCGGGAUGCUUUACACAUGCAAGUCGAGCGGCAGCACGGACUUCGGUCUGGUGGCGAGUGGCGAACGGGUGAGUAAUGUAUCGGAACGUGCCUAGUAGCGGGGAUAACUACGCGAGAGAAAGCGUAGCUAAUACCACAUAUACGCCCUUCGGGGGAAAGCGGGGGGACCUUCGGGCCUCGCACUAUUAGAGCGGCCGAUAUCGGAUUAGCUAGUUGUGGGGUAACGGCUCACCAAGGCGACGAUCCGUAGCUGGUUUUUGAGAGGACGACCAGCCACACUGGGACUGAGACACGGCAGACUCCUACAGGGGAGGCAGCAGUGGGGAAUUUUA
rnacentral:misc_RNA from 1 species